UACGUAGGGUGCAAGCGUUGUCCGGAAUUAUUGGGCGUAAAGAGCUCGUAGGCGGUCUGUCGCGUCGGCUGUGAAAUCCCGAGGCUCAACCUCGGGUCUGCAGUCGAUACGGGCAAACUAGAGUAUUGCAGGGGAGACUGGAAUUCCUGGUGUAGCGGUGAAAUGCGCAGAUAUCAGGAGGAACACCGGUGGCGAAGGCGGGUCUCUGGGCCGAUACUGACGCUGAGGAGCGAAAGCGUGGGGAGCAAACGGG
rnacentral:rRNA from 1 species